AAACAAAAAAAUCGAAAGUACUGCUUCGGUUAGUGAUAAGAAACACACGAUAGGAGCUCAAGUUCCCAUCUUCUAGUCCCAUCUAUGGCAAGUGAAAUAAAAAAGCCAAAUAAAUUGACUAAUCAAUACUCGGUGCAAAACCCAGGCAGGCUGCAAGAUCAAGGUAAACAGAAACACAAAACCCACGUGUUCUGUAGCUUGAGCUCAAAGUAAAGUUUUGAAAAAAUGAGGUCAGCCAAGCACAAAAAAGAAGCAUACUCCAAUAGAAAAUGGAUAAAGUGGAUGCUCGACGAGCGGAAAGUGGUAUUUAAAAUUUUAACAUUAUUACGAACCUCUUUUAUUUUACGAUAACGAUAAAAGAAUAAUUUAGA